CCCUUAGAUGUUCUGGGCCGCACGCGCGCUACACUGACUACUUCAACGAGUUGUUUCCUUGAUCGAAAGGUCUGGGUAAUCUUUGAAAGGUAGUCGUGAUGGGGAUAGAUCCUUGCAAUUUUUGAUCUUCAACGAGGAAUUCCUAGUAAACGCAAGCCAUCAGCUUGCAUUGAUUACGUCCCUGCCCUUUGUACACACCGCCCGUCGCACCUACCGAUUGAAUGGUCCGGUGAAUCUUUAGGACUGUGGCUGAGGCCUUGCCUUGUGCGGGUCUGGCCGUGGGAAUUUAGUUAAACCUUACCAUUUAGAGGAAGGUGAAGUCGUAACA
rnacentral:rRNA from 1 species